rnacentral:misc_RNA from 1 species
AAGGAGUCCAACACAUACGCGAGUGUUUGGGUGGCAAACCCGUGCGCGAAAUGAAAGUGAAUGUAGGUGGGAUCCUUCGGGUGCACCAUCGACCGGUCUGGAUUCUUUUCAAAGAUCUGAGUAAGAGCGUAUUUGUUGGGACCCGAAAGAUGGUGAACUAUGCCUGAAUAGGGUGAAGUCAGAUGAAACUCUGGUGGAAGCUCGUAGCUGUGCUGACGUGCAAAUCGCUCGUCGAAUUUGGGUAUAGGGGCGAAAGACUAAUCGAACCAUCUAGUAGCUGGUUCCCUC